ACUUCGGUUCUGAUGGCGACCGGCGCACGGGUGAGUAACGCGUACACUACCUACCUUUAACAGAGGGAUAGCCCUGGGAAACUGGGAUUAAUACCACAUAGUAUUGCAUAUUUUAUUUUUAUGCAAUUAAAGCUCCGGCGGUUAAAGAUGGGUGUGCGUUAGAUUAGCUAGUUGGUAAGGUAAUGGCUUACCAAGGCUACGAUCUAUAGGGGGCGUGAGAGCGUGGACCCCCACACGGGUACUGAGACACGGACCCGACUCCUACGGGAGGCAGCAGUAAGGAAUAUUGGACAAUGGGCGCAAGCCUGAUCCAGCCAUCCCGCGUGAAGGAUGACGGCCCUAUGGGUUGUAAACUUCUUUUAUUAGGGAAGAAACCUUUUCAUUUAUGAAGAGCUGACGGUACCUAAAGAAUAAGCACCGGCUAACUCCGUGCCAGCAGCCGCGGUAAUACGGAGGGUGCAAGCGUUAUCCGGAAUCACUGGGUUU
rnacentral:rRNA from 1 species